GAUGAAGAACGCAGCGAAAUGCGAUAAGUAAUGUGAAUUGCAGAAUUCAGUGAAUCAUCGAAUCUUUGAACGCACCUUGCGCCCUUUGGCUAUUCCGAAGGGCAUGCCUGUUUGAGUAUCAUGAACACCUCAACUCUUCACGGCUUGCCGUGAUGAGUUUGGACUUUGGGGGUCUUGCUGGCCUACGAGCCAGCUCCUCUCAAAUGUAUUAGCUUGCCGGUGUUUGGUGGCAUCACAGGUGUGAUAACUAUCUACGCUUGUGGUUUUCCACUAGGUAACCUUCAGCAAUGGAGGUUCACCGGAGCUCACAAAUGUCUCUCCUUGCCAAGGACAGAUUUUGACCAUUUGAUCUCAAAUCAGGUAGGACUACCCGCUGAACUUAAGCAUAUCAAUAACGGAGGA
rnacentral:misc_RNA from 1 species